rnacentral:sRNA from 1 species
GCUGGGCAUGGUGACACAUGCCUGUAAUCCCAGUGGCUCAGGAGGCUGAAGCAGGAGGAUAGCCAGUUCAAAGCCAGCCUCAGCAACGGGAAGGCACUAAGCAGCUCAGUGAGACCCUGUCUCUA